AUUGAACGCUGGCGGCAGGCCUAACACAUGCAAGUCGAACGAGUGGCGGACGGGUGAGUAAUGUCUGGGAAACUGCCUGAUGGAGGGGGAUAACUACUGGAAACGGUAGCUAAUACCGCAUACCAUCGGAUGUGCCCAGAUGGGAUUAGCUAGUAGGUGGGGUAAAGGCUCACCUAGGCGACGAUCCCUAGCUGGUCUGAGAGGAUGACAAGCAAAAGUGGAAGUGAGACACGGUCCAGACUCCUACGGGAGGCAGCAGGGGGGAAUAUGGCAAAAUGGGAGCAAGCCUGAGACAGCCAUGCCGCGUGUAUGAAGAAGGCCUUCGGGUUGUAAAGUACUUUCAGCGGGGAGGGGUUACCCGCAGAAGAAGCACCGGCUAACUCCGGGCCAGCCGCCGCGGUAAUAC
rnacentral:rRNA from 1 species